rnacentral:rRNA from 1 species
GUGGUAACUAUAACCAUCCUAAGGUAGCGAAAUUCCUUGUCGGGUAAGUUCCGACCUGCACGAAUGGCGUAACGACUUCCCCACUGUCUCGACCAGGAGCUCGGCGAAAUUGCAGUACGAGUAAAGAUGCUCGUUAAGCGCAGAAGGACGAAAAGACCCCGGGACCUUUACUAUACCUUGGUAUUGGCAUUCGGUGUGGAUUGUGUAGCAUAGGCGGAAGGCUUCGAAGCCACGGCGCCAGCCGCGGUGGAGCCGCAAGGUGAAAUACCGCUCUGUUCGCAUUGGAUGUCUAACCUCGACCAGUCAUCCUGGUCAGGGACAGUGCCUGGCGGGUAGUUUAACUGGGGCGGUUGCCUCCCAAAGAGUAACGGAGGCGCUCAAAGGUUCCCUCAGCCCGGUUGGCAAUCGGGUGGCGAGUGUAAGUGCACAAGGGAGCUUGACUGCGAGACUGACGGGUCGAGCAGGGACGAAAGUCGGAACUAGUGAUCCGGUGCCGGUGUACGGACGCGGCAUCGCUCAACGGAUAAAAGGUACCCCGGGGAUAACAGGCUGAUCAUUCCCAAGAGUCCAUAUCGACGGGAUGGUUUGGCACCUCGAUGUCGGCUCGUCGCAUCCUGGGGCUGGAGCAGGUCCCAAGGGUUCGGCUGUUCGCCGAUUAAAGCGGCACGCGAGCUGGGUUCAGAACGUCGUGAGACAGUUUGGUCUCUAUCCUCUGCGCUCGUCGGAAUGUUGAGGAGGCCUGCCCAUAGUACGAGAGGACCUGGGUGGACGAACCUCUGGUAUGCCGGUUGUCACGCCAGUGGCACGGCCGGUUGGCUACGUUCGGAAGGGAUAACCGCUGAAAGCAUCUAAGCGGGAAGCCUGCUCCAAGAUAAGCAUUCCAUAGGACUACGGGUCCUUGAAGUCCCCAUGCAGAACACGUGGUUGAUAGGCCGGACGUGGAAGCCCCGCGAGGGGUGGAGCCGACCGGUACUAACGGACGAAAGGCAACACAAC